UGUCCGAGCUACGAUCGCUAGUGUGACGUCUCUUGCUUAUUGGACUUGUUAUGAUGCAGCACAGACAGUGACACACGCAGGCAUGUCACAUCAAAAGUCAGGGCAUCAAAAACGGAAAGAAAGGAAGGAAAGAGAAGACAGAGAACGCCAAAGUCGACAGUAUGUCACACAGUUUUUCAAAAAGAAAGAAUCAGCGGCUGCUGCACACCCACGUCCUCCUUCCCCCACGUCCCACGUCCCCGUCUUAAUCAGCCGAACAAGGACAUUAUACUUUUCAUAUUUACAACAUCUCGAGAAGCAAAUCUACAACAAUGCGUCACUGUUAUACUUUUCUUCUUGUUGGACUUCUGGUCGUCACAUGGAUCCAGUCUGUUGUAAAGGCCAAUAAUGACAAACUACCAGUUGAAUGCUGCUUUCAGUUUUAUGAAAGAAAAAUCCCGUACGUAAAAAUCAAAUCCUACAAAAUGACGGCAAGUGAAUGUACCAUGGCUGGAGUCAUUUUUACCUCAGUGAAGGACUUUCAAGUCUGUGUGAACCCUUCCGAUAACUGGGUGAAGAAAGUCAUUCAACGAAUUGAUAAAUAGCAGCUGGAAGCAAAGCUUUAGUUCAGUACACAUUUCUUCUAUAAUGAUUUCGUCUUUCUUUGAUUUGUUUUAUGCAUUAUUUUUUGUUAUUAUAAGCAUUAUAUGAUUUGAUACUGCUUUGUUUUGCUUUAAAUUACAAAAGUAUACCUUUUUUAACUAUAGUGUUGUGGUUAAAGUAAUACAUCAAAAGGGAUGAAUGAUCGUUUUCAAUAACUUUAUUUCCCAGUAUUUUCAUAAAUAUAGUAACAUAUCCCUGUUUUUACAUGCAAGUUAGAGUACAUAAUAAAGUCUAUUUUUCUGUGUGAAAACCA